CUCCAUCCUGGUGCCAGCCCCAGGACAGGGCCCACAGGGCCUUCGACACGCGUGAUCAGACUGCACUUGGACCAGGCACGACAGCAAACAGGACACCAUUAAUGAUGGAUCUAAAGGUAAAGGACCAAAAGGAAAAUCAGAUCACUAAAAGAACAUUUUUAGCACAGAGUAUAUCAUUUAUGCCUGGCCUUGGAGGAGGUUUUCUAUGCCAGAUCAGCUCUAAUUCUACCCAAUCCAGACCUGAAUUCUCAGCCCCUGAUGAUUAUGACAGUGCGUUGGAGCCACAGAGAUGAAAGUGUUCUCAAAUAUCUAAUAAAACAC